UACGUAGGGGGCGAGCGUUGUCCGGAUUUAUUGGGCGUAAAGAGCUCGUAGGCGGCUCAGUAAGUCGGAUGUGAAAACUCCAGGCUCAACCUGGAGACGCCAUUCGAUACUGCUGUGGCUAGAGUCCAGUAGGGGAGUGUGGAAUUCCUGGGUGUAGCGGUGAAAUGCGCAGAGUAAUCAGGAGGAACACCGAUGGCGAAGGC
rnacentral:rRNA from 1 species